GGGACGGGUGAGUAACACGUGGAUAACCUACCUAUAAGACUGGGAUAACUUCGGGAAACCGGAGCUAAUACCGGAUAAUAUUUUGAACCGCAUGAUUCAAAAGUGAAAGACGGUCUUGCUGUCACUUAUAGAUGGACCCGCGCCGUAUUAGCUAGUUGGUGAGGUGACGGCUCACCAAGGCAACGAUACGUAGCCGACCUGAGAGGGUGAUCGGCCACACUGGAACUGAGACACGGUCCAG
rnacentral:rRNA from 1 species